rnacentral:rRNA from 1 species
AACAGGAUUAGAUACCCUGGUAGUCCACGCCGUAAACGAUGUCGACUUGGAGGUUGUUCCCUUGAGGAGUGGCUUCCGGAGCUAACGCGUUAAGUCGACCGCCUGGGGAGUACGGCCGCAAGGUUAAAUCUCAAAUGAAUUGACGGGGGCCCGCACAAGCGGUGGAGCAUGUGGUUUAAUUCGAUGCAACGCGAAGAACCUUACCUACUCUUGACAUCCACGGAAUUUGGCAGAGAUGCCUUAGUGCCUUCGGGAACCGUGAGACAGGUGCUGCAUGGCUGUCGUCAGCUCGUGUUGUGAAAUGUUGGGUUAAGUCCCGCAACGAGCGCAACCCUUAUCCUUUGUUGCCAGCGAUUCGGUCGGGAACUCAAAGGAGACUGCCGGUGAUAAACCGGAGGAAGGUGGGGAUGACGUCAAGUCAUCAUGGCCCUUACGAGUAGGGCUACACACGUGCUACAAUGGCGCAUACAAAGAGAAGCGACCUCGCGAGAGCAAGCGGACCUCACAAAGUGCGUCGUAGUCCGGAUCGGAGUCUGCAACUCGACUCCGUGAAGUCGGAAUCGCUAGUAAUCGUGGAUCAGGAUGCCACGGUGAAUACGUUCCCGGGCCUUGUACACACCGCCCGUCACACCAUGGGAGUGGGUUGCAAAAGAAGUAGGUAGCUUAACCUUCGGGAGGGCGCUUACCACUUUGUGAUUCAUGACUGGGGUGAAGUCGUAACAAGGUAACC